GUUCCUAAUUUCACGGCAAAAAUGGAGGGAGAAACUUACAUAAUUACCCUUAUAGUCUCUGUAUCUGAAGUUGUUUUAGGUAGGGGGUAUUUAUUUAAUUUUAUCCCUUCCUGACUCUCUAGCUGUAGGACCCCUGUGGCUAUAAUAAUGGUCUUCAUGAGGUUAGCGUGAAACUGAUGGUAGUCACACUGAAUGUGUGUAAAGAAAGAAGGUGAACUUUGCCAAUCUUUUUUGGUACACAAAUUGAUAGUUGCACAUAUGCACUACGACUUUUUACUGUGAUUUUCAUAUGAAUGUGUUGCCUUGGUCAGCAUUAUCUUUUACCUUUAUUGCUGCAUAUGUGAUGAUAAGAGGUUGUUGGCUUGCCCUGCAUGAUAUCAUUUAUUUCUACACGGAGAAGUCACAUUGGAUUCUCGUCUCAUCAGCUUGAGAUAUUUUCCGGUAUAUUACAGGUUUUGUGGGUCAGGGAGCAU
rnacentral:misc_RNA from 1 species